ACUUAUAAGAUAAGCAUCCUCAGCAUCGCCGUUCUCUCCCGUUAGCGCGCAAGCUUCACUCGGCAUAAUUGCAAGCCAACCAAUCACAGUAUAAAAGAAGGCGCACGAGACAGUCACUUAGGAAGGUUAUACAGAUUUCGUUGCGAUACACCAGCGAAAGGUCUUGACAACUGUUUCAUAAGGACCCUAACACACAGCACCGGAUACUUUCAGAAGAACACCAACGCCGAAAAAAGAACCACCCCAACCCAAAACAUGAAUAAGUACAUCUGCGGCUGCGCAUUCCUAGUUGUUCUGUCCAUAUGUUACGUCAACAGUGAAAACGUCGACGAUCUGCACAAAUUUCUCAUACGUAGGCGGCGAUCUGCACACAAUGGUCUCAGGCAGGAAUCGGAGCUCAAAAAUCUCGUGCGAGAACUUAUGGACAAACUUCAAAAUAUAAUCGACACAGACCGGGCCCUUUCGUCAGCUCUUGAAGAAGAAAGCAAUGAAGUUCGACACAAGAAGACCGGCUUUUGGCCCUCCAUGGGACCCCUCCCAGUGGAAACACGACUUUCGUCCUUCGGUAGCCAGAUAGGUGGCGCUACGAACGAGCAGGCCUCGCACAAACCAUUCCGAUAUGGCCGCAAGUAAACACCUGCUACCGUGUUUUUUUGUGAUAGAAAUACUGUUGGCCGGCAAACACACUGUAAAUUAUGAUUGUAAAUUUCACCCCGACGAGCAUUCUUGCUUGAGGAGCUAAGCUAGGGUUGUUGGCUUCUCCAAGACAUUCCGAAGACGCAUUUCAAGACCAGAACGCGACAGAAAAAAAAAACAAAAUCAAUUUGACUUUGUGUGACAAGAACUGCGGGAUCAAAGACAAUGCAUUCUAUUAUAUGUUAACAACUUUAUUUUUAUUGAAUAAUACUCCAUUAAGUACUACAAACGCCAAGUCGUAUUCUAGUUUCCCCUACUAGCUGCAGUGAGGAGACGCAGAUCUUGCCUAGAUACACCUUGAUCUAACUCUAUGUCUCACAAAACACGAAGAGACAGUUGACUCUUUUACUCAUUCAGUCAACUAUUUCCUGUUAAUCUAAGUCUACUCCUUCGCAAGUUAAGUUCUUAACACCAUGUCCACAUGAAGUCAAUCAAUAAGGCGAUGAUGUUUGUUUUGGGUGAAUGGUGCUUAUUCUAGAAACUCACCCACGAGUGUGUUAUCAGUAGCGAAUCAUCGCAUCAUCCUGACUCCCGAUAGUUUGAUUGGUGUUUCUUCAGAAUAACAGAACUUCUUUGAUUAAACGACUCACGCGAUUAUUUCAGAGCUUUUCCUUAUGGUUCACACUAUCUCCGCAUUGAGUCUUAUUUUCCUUGGGUGGUAUCAGAAGAGAUAGAAAAUGUUCUCUUUAGAUAACAGUGAUUUUCAAUCAUGAUGCUCAUGUCAUCUGACACCAUUGUAUAGUCUAUGAUAAUGUGGUUAUGUCAACGUACACUGAGAGUUAGGCGAUGAAGAGGCCAAAAGCGAUCUCUCUAACGAUGGUUGUCAGUACUGAAGAGACAUCUCCAUGAUCAAAAAAGCGCUUAAUAAGCAAACUUACAUCAAGUCUAUAUCUGUCUCGUUAAACUCCAGACCUGCUUCUGUGAAAUUGUUUGAGCUUGAGACGGCUGGUCAACAUAGUAAAGGAUUUUAAGAAAA